rnacentral:rRNA from 1 species
AUUGAACGCUGGCGGCAGGCUUAACACAUGCAAGUCGAGCGGGGGAAGGUAGCUUGCUACUGGACCUAGCGGCGGGCGGGUGAGUAAUGCUUAGGAAUCUGCCUAUUAGUGGGGGACAACAUCUCGAAAGGGAUGCUAAUACCGCAUACGUCCUACGGGAGAAAGCAGGGGAUCUUCGGACCUUGCGCUAAUAGAUGAGCCUAAGUCGGAUUAGCUAGUUGGUGGGGUAAAGGCCUACCAAGGCGACGAUCUGUAGCGGGUCUGAGAGGAUGAUCCGCCACAAUGGGACUGGGACACGGGCCAGACUCCUACGGGAGGCAGCAGUGGGGAAUAUUGGACAAUGGGGGGAACCCUGAUCCAGCCAUGCCGCGUGUGUGAAGAAGGCCUUAUGGUUGUAAAGCACUUUAAGCGAGGAGGAGGCUACUUUAGUUAAUACCUAGAGAUAGUGGACGUUACUCGCAGAAUAAGCACCGGCUAACUCUGUGCCAGCAGCCGCCGUAA